rnacentral:lncRNA from 1 species
UUUAGUAUUAUUAUUUUAAAUUUUAAAGGCCCACAACAAUAACAUGUUUCGAAUAAAACUUUAAUGAAAUCAAUUUAUUUAUAUAGCAUGUUAACAAUAUACAUAGUCUACAAAAUUUAAUGAUUAAUCCUAAUUCAAUUUGGGCCUCAGAUUUGCUGGAUGAGAGGAGGGCCCAUUAUUAUGCUUGCAAAAUUAGAGUGAGGGUGAAAGUUGGGUUCUUCAUUUUUUAGGUUAGGAAUUAGGAAGAGAGUUCCAUGCUUCUGCUUUAUGCCGCCAGCUCCCAUAAACGGGAUGAAGAGCGCUGCACCAGCGAUGGGGUAACACGUCAUGGCGGAAGGAGCAGAACCACUCACGACAGGGGCUAUUCGCGAUUUGUGCGUGGACUCAGAGCCACCUGACUGUCUCCACGCCGUUUGGCGACAAUGGUAACGCUCUUCAUGGUCUCGCCGAAAAUACAGAAGUGCGUCAUCGGUUCAGAUGAAAGUGUUUCGGUUCUGGAAGGUUGUGUAACGAGGGAGGGGGUUCUUCUUUUCUGGUCGUGGUUGGGAUCCAUGGUUCUGCAGCUUUGAUGGGGAAGAUGGACCGUUGAAACGAUCCUCUCCUUCUCCUUUUCCGGUCAUCGUGUUGAUAUAUAAAGUAUGAUGUUAUAUUAGAAUUAUUAUGGAAGCAAUAAACAUUCCGGAUGUGAAUAACUAUUAUAAGAGUAAAAUUGCUCACAUGAUGAUAUGGAUGCUCUCCUUCACUUAGUUGCUUUAUUCUUUAUUUCAUUUUCCAUUUUAAAUUACUUAAUUUAACAAUUUUGAAAAUAAAUUAAAAAUGGUUUUUUAUAUAAUAUUUCU